rnacentral:lncRNA from 1 species
CUGAUGAUCAUGGAUGUCUUCUAAAGAUCCCUUGAAGCCGCACUAGCGUCCAACCUCUAUGGAUAUCCAUACAAGACUUUGAUCUGAUCAGAAGCUUAUUGAUCUCAUCGGAGUAUUAGCUCUCCUGCAGAGAUCGCAUCUUGACAGUUGAAAAUCUUCUUUUCUCUCAAGACACUCUUAGAGAAGAAGAAGAUAGGAGAUGUUGAUCUCUAUGCUCGAGAUCAUAAGAAGAAUCUUUCUUCUCUUUUCUUUCUAAAAUCUAUACAUCAAAUCUAUAUACUAGAGAUGUAAGAAUUUUGUCCAACUUUUGGACAAAGAGAGGAGAAAAAAAACUCAUGUUCAAAUAUAGAUAAAAAGAGAGAGAAGAGGCCCCAACAACCAACCCUUAGUUGUUGGUAAGAAAGAAGGGAUAUCACCUCACCUACCUUACGCCCAAGACAUUCACGCUGCACCC